GGUCUCUUCGGCAGCGUCUUUUCCGAAGCGGCGGCGGCGGCGGCGGCGGCGGGAGGAGAGGCAGCCCCAGCUAUGACUGCCGCAUGUUAAUCGCUGCCGCUCGGGUCCCUCGGCUGCUGCGGGAGACGGAGCCCGACUCCGAAGUUGUGCAACUGUGGACUGCGAGGGGCAUCUGAACCCCCCUCUCUCCGGACUCGGCGUCCGAGCGCCUGGGUGCGUGCGAAGCCGGGACGCGUCAAGGAAGACAAGCGUUUGGUUCUUCCUCUCCCCUCACCCUCCACCCCCUCUCCGUUUUCCAUGGCUGUGUAGCAGAAGAAAGGGAAGUAUUCAAAUGUUCAGUAAAUUGGAGGAAAAGAACAUGGAUGUUUAACAACUGAAAACCACAUUAAGUAGUGGAGGUGAUGAUGAUGAUGAUGAUGAUGACAAUGGUGAUGACAAGAACAGCAACAAUAAUAGAAUUGCAGUUCUAUUUUUGAGGUCCUAAUAUGUAACAAGUCAUGUGCUAUUUAAUUUAAACACUAUUCUAUUUGAUCCUCACAGCAUUUCA